rnacentral:rRNA from 1 species
AGCGAACGCUGGCGGCAGGCCUAACACAUGCAAGUCGAACGGAUCCUUCGGGAUUAGUGGCGGACGGGUGAGUAACACGUGGAACGUGCCCUUUGGUUCGGAACAACUCAGGGAAACUUGAGCUAAUACCGGAUGUGCCCUUCGGGGGAAAGAUUUAUCGCCAUUGGAGCGGCCCGCGUCUGAUUAGCUAGUUGGUGAGGUAAAGGCUCACCAAGGCGACGAUCAGUAGCUGGUCUGAGAGGAUGAUCAGCCACAUUGGGACUGAGACACGGCCCAAACUCCUACGGGAGGCAGCAGUGGGGAAUCUUGCGCAAUGGGCGAAAGCCUGACGCAGCCAUGCCGCGUGAAUGAUGAAGGUCUUAGGAUUGUAAAAUUCUUUCACCGGGGACGAUAAUGACGGUACCCGGAGAAGAAGCCCCGGCUAACUUCGUGCCAGCAGCCGCCGCGGUUA